AGCGAACGCUGGCGGCAGGCCUAACACAUGCAAGUCGAACGGAUCCUUCGGGAUUAGUGGCGGACGGGUGAGUAACACGUGGGAACGUGCCCUUUGGUUCGGAACAACUCAGGGAAACUUGAGCUGAUACCGGAUGUGCCCUUCGGGGGAAAGAUUUAUCGCCAUUGGAGCGGCCCGCGUCUGAUUAGCUAGUUGGUGAGGUAACGGCCCACCAAGGCGACGAUCAGUAGCUGGUUUGAGAGGAUGGUCAGCCACACUGGGACUGAGACACGGCCCAGACUCCUACGGGAGGCAGGAGUGGGGAAUCUUGCGCAAUGGGCGAAAGCCUGACGCAGCCAUGCCGGGUGAAUGAUGAAGGUCUUAGGAUUGUAAAAUUCUUUCAGCGGGGACGAUAAUGACGGUACCCGCAGAAGAAGCUCCGGCUAACUUCGUG
rnacentral:rRNA from 1 species